AAGACUAGACCUUUAGGGAUCACCUCUAGAGUUUGUUACUGGAGAGGUUUCUUUGAACAUUGUAGAGCACCAGAAACCACGAGGAAGAAGUGUAAAAAAAAAAACAGUCUUUUUUGAGAUGCUUACUAGCUAUCCAAGUAGU
rfam:Myotis brandtii contig198696, whole genome shotgun sequence.